UCGGUUAAGUCUAUGGUUUGACGGUGUGACAAUGAGUGAGAUCAUUGUACUGAUUGAUCGCUAGGUUGUUAGAAAUGUAUAGAAUUGAAUGUGUGGAAAUAAAUGAUGAUGAUAUGAAAUGUCAAGAUGCAUCAACUGAUUGUAGUGGCUAGUCCGCCCUAGUCCCCGCAUAGAGUAGUAUAGAGUGUCAUGCGGGCAGGUUGGUCUAGAGUCACUUCACUGAGUAACUUCUUGCUCAUCCCUCCCUUUCUAUUUCUCUGUGCACAAGACUGUAAGUAGAA
rnacentral:lncRNA from 1 species